GCCGGGCACAGUGGCGCACGCCUGUAAUCCCAGCGCUCAGGAGGCUGAGGCAGAAGGGUCGUGAGUUCAGAGCCAGCCUCAGCAACGUAGUGAGACCCUGUCUCUA
rnacentral:sRNA from 1 species